rnacentral:lncRNA from 1 species
AUGUUUCGAAAUUCCCAACGGCACCGCGGUGAGAUCGUCUCGCCGAGCUUCCGGGUUGGGCCGGCCGGGCCAGCUCCCGAGCCAGGUGCCGAGCCUGGGUUGGAGGCCGGGAGGGUGCGCCUUGUAAGUCGUCCAGAAACGGCAUCGAGUCAACGGGGACCACAGGCUGCGGCCGCAGAGCGAUCUGGACAGGACGUGAGCUGUGAUGAAGGACGGACGCCCGCAGCAAGGCCGUCCCAUCGAACAUUCUCGCUACAGAGUCCCNCAAGGCCCCCCCCCCCCCCCCGAACCCAUCGUCCCAGGCUCGGCCGCACACCACCACCACCCCACAUCCUGGAGAGUGAAAAUGCUCAGUAUGGGGCGGGGAGGAGCGCGCGCCUAAAAUGUUUCCUUUUGGAAGAAAUGUAA